UCUCUCUCUUCUCUCUCUUUUCUCCCAAAGUUUCUGAAGGUGUUCUUCAUGCUUUGCUCCGGCGUUGGUCUCUCCGACGUCGGAGGCUGUCUUUUCUCUUAGAUCUAGUUUUAUCAUUGCUUCCUGAUUCUAACAAGAUCCAUUUUCGAUAUGUUCUGGGAUUCUGGGUGUUUCAACGCCGGUAAGUGUCAGGUUCUGCUCCGUGGAGAACUAGCUUCACUGGUGGGUUGAGCUUUCUGGUGUUCCGACGAGUUGGUGUGAGCUUGGAAGAGCAAGGGAGUCGGCUUUUGGGUAGUCUCACCGACAGAUCUGGUUUUCUCCUUCAGACUUUUGCGGUGCUCUCCAUGUUUAGGUGAUGCGCGAGGUUCAUGACGGACUCGUCCAGUGUUCUUGUCAUCGUUUCUUAUUCAAAGCUGGGUCUUUGUGGUGGAGUGGACGAGCGGGAAUUGGGGGUCUUGUCCUUGCAGCGGUUGUUUCUGUCCCGUCUUUUGCAUCCCCAGCUAUGGUAAUUAGCGUUUUGAUUGGGCUCUUGUACUGUUAGGUGUGUGAGUCUUAAUCGUUAUAGGCCAUGGGUGUAAGCGUCUUGUUGGUUGUGACUUAGCAGUAUUUGUUCUUGGGGUUAUGUGUCAUUUGGUUGCUUGUCGUUUGGUUUCUUUCCCGUGAGUGUUGGAGAGGUUCUUGGCAAGGCUUCAUCUUCUUGGUAGUUGGGCGAGCUUCUUUCUUUGAUUGUAGAGCGUUUAUGUAUCCAAGGCGUGUGGACCGAGCAGCGGUUCCCCUUGUUGAGGUUUGAAGUCCCCGGGUUUUGGUCUUAUCGUUUGGCGGGCGAGGCAGCAGCGAUAAGUGUGGUUUGGGUGCAGAAGUGGAGGGUACCGGGUGACGGGCUAUAGGCAGCAACGGUACUUCCCGACCAUUGACAUUUACUCUGUUUUAAAAACUGCUAAGUGACCUGAUGUGGCUUUUGCGUGGAUGUUAACGUGCUUUUGGUGCUAGUGUUGGUUUAGUUUUUAUGGUUUGUGUUUGUUUUUAAGUCACCCGAGUGUGGGUUUUAGUCGUCCCAGUGUGGGUUCUAGCUGCCGCUUCUUAUGGGCUUUUGGUUCUGGGGCUAUUUCGUUUUGCCGCCAGCUUGUGUAUGAAUACCGGUAAUUCGAUUAUGAAUGAAUUUCAAUUUGGGAAAAAAAAAAAGUUUACGUUCGUUUUGAUUUACUGUUGGUCUUGAUUCAGUUUUCGGAUAAUAUACACUCGCCUAUCUAAGAGGUUGGUUUUAGGGAACAUCUCAAAUUCUCAAUCGAGAGGUUGACAUUGAUACGUUUUAGGCAUCGAAUCGUUAAACAGGGAAAUCAGAGAAAUUAGAUGAUGAACUGAUGUUGAUUACUGGAAUUGAUAAAAAGAUAACAAGUUUAGAGAGGUUUUCUCAUGAGUCUCCCAACUUUGAUCAACGACUUCAUAAUCACUCCUUACGAUCCUCAUUCCUCACACACACUCGAGCCAUCAAGCAUGUGCACAACCUCCACGUCACGUACACACUCUAUGUGUGAUCCAACAUAGCAUGUGCUCUUGCCUCUGACUCAGCAAACAUCCGUUAUUCAUUAUUCUUUCAAGCCUUGUGUCUUCUAGAAAGAGCCUUUGUAUCAGACAUCUCUAAUUCUACCCAUCCAUUUUAAUUUUAGCUCUCUUUAUUUAAGUAACAAAAUAUUCCAGGACCUGGUUGAAGAUUUUUUUGUUUCACAUUUUAAGUAACAAUAACAGAUGAACACUAACAAAAGAAAGUGCAACAGUGGCAAAGAGUGCCUCUUUCAGAUCUUGUCGUGAAGAUUGACGACCAAGUCAUGAGCAUCGUCAAGAAGUUUCCAAACAUCAAGACGACCAGCCAUGCUAUUACAUUCCUUCAUGAUCUCAUCCAUCCCACUGUACUUCUCUAUGAUCGUCUUUCUCCUCUGCAACACGCUUGCCGCUAUCGCAUAUAGCAACAGAUCUUCUGUCGGUGGUGCCCGUAACCUUAUUCUCCCCCAUGUCGCCUUUGCAAUCCCGGUUCUUAUGGCUGCUUGAUCCGCCCACAUUACUUCCCACAGGCAAAGCGUCUGCUCAAAUGUUAGUUCUCGUCUGAACAUCACCACCACCAUACGGUAUACAAAGAAGCAGUCUUCCGCUUCUAGGUUCUCCAAGUGCCUGUACAAGCGGAUGUCUUUGAACUUUAUGAUUUUCGAUACCAUUGAGAGUUGCCUCCUGAUUCCAACCUCGUCUAGCCUGAAAUUAUGUCUUGCUUUACUCAUGAACCCGACAAAGCACCAGAACGCAAACGCGUCGUCUUCGAUUACUGCGAGUAUAGGAGAUAGUAAGUCGCUCAUUCCUUGACAGUAACCUAUUUCAGGGUCGUAGACCGCGUAGGCUUCAAGGAUGGCGACCAGGCGAGCUGCAUGUAAGAUCCUGCAGGGCUCCAAGUCCUCGUAGUCAGUAAGACCAACCUGUGUGGCUAUUCCCCGGGCUUUUGUGUCAGACACAGCAGCUUGAGAUGGUGAGUAGGGCACCCAUUCAUUAUUGGCUCUCACUGCAUCCAGGCGGAUUAUUCUCUGCCAAAUUGUGGUGAAUUCCUCUUCUGCCUGAGAUUUUGGCUUUGAUGAUGGAGACGGAGUGUCUUUUUCUUGGUUGACUUUACCGUGUCUUUCGGCUUCUUCUUCUUUGGCUAGACGAGGCAAAGUCUCAGUUUCUUCAGAGUUGGGUGCCUCUGAGUUAACGGCUGUAUCAUGUCUUUCUCUUUCUUCGUUCGCUAGAAGAGGUGAAGUCUCGGUUUCUUCAGAGUUUGUUGAGUCUGAGUCAUUAGCAUCAUCUUCGGAGGUGACGCCACUCUUUUCACAGUCCCCAUCCUGACGGAUCGAUUCGGAAUUCAACUUCUCUGAUUCUUCUACUUGGAUGGAUCUCGUGGAAAUACUGACUUGUUCAAUAUCAUGGGAAUCAAGAACCUGGCUGUCUUCGGUGUUGCUGCUCUGAGAUGUCUGCUUUGAGUCACUGCCAUUUUCAUUGCGCCUAUGAAUCUCGCGACACUGUCUCCGCAGGUUUUCAUAUUCCUUCCUGCAAGAUUUACGUAUGUCUAAGCGACAGGAGUUCUCAAACGACUACUUAUUGGUAAAUUCAUGGAAACAUUGAAAAAGUCAAUAACCAGCUUGCCACCUAACAGGAAACAGAGAAAAAUGGGAAACUUAAAUAUUGGCAGAAGCUGAGAAGCCAUGAAACUCAAUUUGUACAAGUGAACGUACUGUUUCUGCUGUCGGAUAGAAUCUCUUUCUUCUUCGGUGCUGUUUAAGUCAUACCUGUGAGACGUUAAGUAGAAUAAGGUUAUAGUAUGUCGGGAUGAUAAAGAGUACUAACUUACACAGGGUUCAUUAUCAAAGUAUCUUAACGUAUAGUGAGGACCGGGCUAGAAUUAGUCUUAUAAAUCCUCAGGAAGAAAACAUAAAAGGCGACUCUGAGACUCUCCCAUUUGAAACUCCUAGUUAAUGAGUGGUUUACAGUUUAUUCUAAGUUUCUAACUUAUAACAUUAACUACUAACCCCAUCGAAAAAUCUACACUUCAACAUUUAGAACAUACAUACGAACCUAAGGCUGAACAAACAAAAAACUCCAUGGUAGCCGCAGAGUAUAUAAGUGAUCCAAAUCAUACUUCAGCAUUAAGAACAUAAAGAAGGGAAAAGGAAAAAAGAUGCAGAUUCUUACACUCCAAGGAGGAAUAGCCAAACUUCUGGUCUGAUGCUCGGAUCCACACCCUGAAACAACGACAUGAAUUAAUAUACAAAGUCACAAUAGGACAAUUUGGGUUAAAGUCUGAGUAUCAGAAGUUUAUCAAAUGGAGCAAUUAGCAACAUACCCCACUGCGAACUUUCUUCAGAAAUUGGACACCUCCAUCACCGAGUCGGCCUUCCUCUGUGAAAAAGGCGUUCCACUGUGUAGGCUGAAGAGCAUGCUUUCUUCUCCUCAGUGACCAAGGCGAUCCAAUGCUUCCUCUGAAGAAAUGGAUUAGCAGAAAAUAAGCAACUUCAUUUAAGGAACAAAAUUACACAAAACAAAAUGUGGCGAUCAAUAGCUUGCUUCGAAUCGUAAAUGUUAUGUUCAUUUAUGCCAAUGACAGAAGACCUAAGACAUUGGUUACAUUAUUCAGUUAUUAUCUUUCAAAGAAUCUAGACUUCGGAUCAAUGGGCAUCAAAGGACUACUAUUAUUACUAAGCUAAGCAUGAUAAAGUAGUGAACAAGCUUUUACUUGAGAUCUUUAGUUUUUCAUUUCGCAUUCAUAUAUACACCUACCUACGGGAGUAGACGACGGUGACAGCCACCGCCACGACGGUGACCGCCACGGCUAAACCAACAUUGGAAGGAGCAACAGCUGUCGACCAGAAUUCGCCUGCGUAUCCGUUCCUGGCGGCGCCACCGCUGCUGCCAUCGGCAAAGACGACCCAUCUCCCGCCGAGGAACAGCGUCAAGAAGACCACGGCGACGAAAGUUACCGUCGAUGCGACGGAGCGAGUGGCCGCCGCCACUUUGUCGGUCGUCGUCAAUCGUAGUGGUCCAAACAUCACCCCCACCCCCCAAGCUAGGGAUUAGCUUCCUCCAAGAAGAGAUGAACAUGGUUAUUAUAAAGAAUCAACAUUGUUGGAUAAAGGGGUUAUCAGAAGAUAAUCAUUGAAACUGAUUGCAAAAAAAAAAGCCAUUGAUGAGCUCAAGCAUGCACAACUACACUUUGGAGCUUAUAACUAGAUCAGAGAGAUAUGAUGGUGGAUGCAAAAGUUUGAGGAAAUCUUGUUUUCUUGGAUAGGAAGGAAAGCAAAUCGAGUUGCAAAUAUAUUGGCCAAGGCUACAAUUCCAAAUGAUAUACUGUUUGCGUGUUCAUUAUUUUGUGCAUGCUAUAAUUGAUCAUCCUCUUCACGAGAAUUAUGUAAACUCACAAUAAGCUCAAUAAAAAUCAGUUGUUAAAAAAAAAAAAAUUUGUAAGUUUACGUUCGUUUCAUUAUCUGGAGAGUAUAUCUAUUCCGUUCUCUCUCUUCUCUCUCUUUUCUCCCAAAGUUUCUGAAGGUGUUCUUCAUGCUUUGCUCCGGCGUUGGUCUCUCCGACGUCGGAGGCUGUCUUUUCUCUUAGAUCUAGUUUUAUCAUUGCUUCCUGAUUCUAACAAGAUCCAUUUUCGAUAUGUUCUGGGAUUCUGGGUGUUUCAACGCCGGUAAGUGUCGGGUUCUGCUCCGUGGAGAACUAGCUUCACCGGUGGGUUGAGCUUUCUGGUGUUCCGACGAGUUGGUGUGAGCUUGGUAGAGCAAGGGAGUCGGCUUUUGGGUAGUCUCACCGACAGAUCUGGUUUUCUCCUUCAGACUUUUGCGGUGCUCUCCAUGUUUAGGUGAUGCGCGAGGUUCAUGAC
rnacentral:lncRNA from 1 species